rnacentral:rRNA from 1 species
CCAAUAGCGUAUAUUAAAGUUGUUGCAGUUAAAACGCUCGUAGUUGAAUUUCGGGGUCAGUAGGUUGGUCGUGCCACAGGUACGUACUGGUCUCACUGAUUCCUCCUUCCUGAUGAACCGUAAUGCCAUUAAUUUGGUGUUGCGGGGAAACUGGACUGUUACUUUGAAAAAAUUAGAGUGUUUAAAGCAGGCUAACGCUUGAAUACAUUAGCAUGGAAUAAUGAAAUAGGACGUUCGAUCCUAUUUUGUUGGUUUCUAGGAUUGACGUAAUGAUUAAUAGGGAUAGUUGGGGGCAUUAGUAUUCAAUUGUCAGAGGUGAAAUUCUUGGAUUUAUUGAAGACUAACUACUGCGAAAGCAUUUGCCAAGGAUGUUUUCAUUAAUCAAGAACGAAAGUUAGGGGAUCGAAGACGAUCAGAUACCGUCGUAGUCUUAACCAUAAACUAUGCCGACUAGGGAUCGGAUGAUGUUAAUUUUUUAAUGACUCAUUCGGCGCCUUACG